rnacentral:misc_RNA from 1 species
AAUUCUCAACCUUUCCAACUUUUAUUAGUUUGGUUAGGCUUGGAUGUGGGGGUUGCAGGCUUCAUUAAUGAGGUUGGCUCUCCUUAAAUGCAUUAGCGGAACUUUUGUGGACCGUCUAUUGGUGUGAUAAUUAUCUACACCGUGGAUGUGAAGCAGCUUUAUGAAGUUCAGCUUCUAACUGUCCAUUGACUUGGACAAUUUUUUUUUGACAAU